UAGCCAGUAUGAUUCAGACGAAGAUUUUUGCCCAUAUUACCCCCAUAAAAUGGAUAAAGCUGUUUGAGAGUACUACCAACAGGUUAAGGAGAGCGAGGGAUUUGAUAUCACAGAUUAUCCCGGACAGUGUGCGAUGACAACCGUCUACCCAAUGCCAUACUACUUGAACGACCCUAAGAAUGUUGACAUGAUGAGGGAUUAUGCUGGAAAGGCACUAAGCUAUACAAUGAUGAAACGGGCACCAAUUAUGAGGUCAAUGGCAUUUUGACGGUGAAUGGAUGCGGUUGUCAUGACUUCAUCUUCUAUAUUACCUUUUCUGUUAAAACGCGUGAUGCCAAAGAAAGGUUCGGAUAUGCAGUGAUUGAAGAAUGUGCUCCGAAGUCUCCUUUUGGUACUCAGCUGUUAACUUCAGCAACAAUUUUCUUGUGGCUAUCACUGGGCAGGAUUACUUACCGGCUUUAUUUUAUUUAAAUGCCUUGUACUGGACACAUUAAUGUGGUAGUGGAGAGCAGACUAUAUGAUUGCAAUGAAAGUCAAACAGUGACAUUUGAUGUUAUAAUUAACUUGAUUGUGCACUCUUCAAUGAAGAGAAAACCACUUAC